AUAAAAAUGUUGUUUAGUGGUUGAUUUAGCUACAAUACAAGCAUUGUUGCGUCUUCUUCUUUCGAAUCUCAAAUCAAAUGAUGUCAGAAAGAGAGAAGUCAUUGUUUAACCAAAAACAGCUAAACAAUGUUUAUAUAUAAGAAAGAGCUUCGCUAGUGAGAAGAAUGAUAUAAAGCGAGAUAAAUUGUAUACGAUUCGUCACCCAUGUUAACUUGUUUCCUAGAAUACAGAUCUCGUUACGUGAGAAUGUUGUUAAUUGUUGUUACAGGAAGCACUUCUUUGUUCCCCAAUAAAAAAAUCUAACAAAAGAG